rnacentral:rRNA from 1 species
GUAGUCCACGCUGUAAACGAUGGGUACUAGGUGUUGUAGGAAUUGACCCCUGCAGUGCCGACGCUAACGCAUUAAGUACCCCGCCUGGGAAGUACGGCCGCAAGGUUAAAACUCAAAGGAAUUGACGGGGGCCCGCACAAGCGGUGGAGCAUGUGGUUUAAUUCGAUGCAACGCGAAGAACCUUACCUGGGUUUGACAUCCCCGGACCGCCCUAGAGAUAGGGUUUCCCCUUCGGGGGCCGGGAGACAGGUGCUGCAUGGCUGUCGUCAGCUCGUAUCGUGAGAUGUCGGGUUAAGUCCCUUAACGAGCGCAACCCUUGUCCUUAGUUGCCAUCAUUUAGUUGGGCACUCUAAGGAGACCGCCGGUGUUAAACCGGA